GGAUCUUUGCUUGAGCAACGACGUCCGCCCGUUCGAGCCUCUUCAUUCGUGGUGCAAGAGUUUUAAUAUCUUGGCCGGUUACGGUUUCCUGUGUUUCAUACCGUUACACGGAAUUGUUUGGUUUCAAUUGACCCUUGUUCGUCUUAUGAUGCCCGCUUCAGGCGUGCGCGUCGUUGAUGAACCACGAAGUGCCCGUUGCAGUCCGCCUCAGCUACGUUAACUCGUGUGUUGGAUUCGGCCUGCGAUAGGGCACUUGUGCUCAUGGAUGCGGAACCCUCUUAGGGUACGGGGAUUGUCCCCUUUCUACCCAAAUUUAUGCGUUCACCGCUAAUCAGCGAACGACCGUUGUUGGUGUCUUAGGCUGGCUGUCUCAAUGAGUCAUGCUAUGCUCGAGCGCCAACGACGUCGAUAAGGA
rnacentral:misc_RNA from 1 species